GAUGAACGCUGGCGGCGUGCCUAACACAUGCAAGUCGAACGAAGCACCUUACCUGAUUCUUCGGAUGAAAGUUUGGUGACUGAGUGGCGGACGGGUGAGUAACGCGUGGGUAACCUGCCCUGUACAGGGGGAUAACAGCUGGAAACGGCUGCUAAUACCGCAUAAGCGCACGAGGAGACAUCUCCUUGUGUGAAAAACUCCGGUGGUACAGGAUGGGCCCGCGUCUGAUUAGCUGGUUGGCAGGGUAACGGCCUACCAAGGCAACGAUCAGUAGCCGGUCUGAGAGGAUGAACGGCCACAUUGGAACUGAGACACGGUCCAAACUCCUACGGGAGGCAGCAGUGGGGAAUAUUGCACAAUGGGGGAAACCCUGAUGCAGCAACGCCGCGUGAGUGAAGAAGUAUUUCGGUAUGUAAAGCUCUAUCAGCAGGGAAGAUAAUGACGGUACCUGAAUAAGAAGCUCCGGCUAAAUACGUG
rnacentral:rRNA from 1 species